UACGUAGGGUGCAAGCGUUAAUCGGAAUUACUGGGCGUAAAGCGUGCACAGGCGGUUUUGUAAGUCUGACGUGAAAUCCCCGGGCUCAACCUGGGAAUUGCAUUGGAGACUGCAAGGCUAGAAUCUGGCAGAGGGGGGUAGAAUUCCACGUGUAGCAGUGAAAUGCGUAGAGAUGUGGAGGAACACCGAUGGCGAAGGCAGCCCCCUGGGUCAAGAUUGACGCUCAUGCACGAAAGCGUGGGGAGCAAACAGG
rnacentral:rRNA from 1 species